rnacentral:rRNA from 1 species
UGGCGAACGGGUGAGUAACGCGUGAGCAACCUGCCUUUCAGAGGGGGACAACAGUUGGAAACGACUGCUAAUACCGCAUAACGUGCCGUGAGGGCAUCCUCGUGGUACCAAAGAUUUAUCGCUGAAAGAUGGGCUCGCGUCUGAUUAGCUAGUUGGAGGGGUAACGGCCCACCAAGGCAACGAUCAGUAGCCGGGUUGAGAGACUGAACGGCCACAUUGGGACUGAGGUACGGCCCAGACUCCUACGGAAGGCAGCAG